GGUGGGAUGCCGGAGUCUGGCUGAACGGGCCGCACUCGAAAUGCGGUAUACCUCACGGUAUCGGGGGUUCGAAUCCCUCUCCCACCGCCA
rnacentral:tRNA from 1 species